CAGCAGAUUUCUCAUCAGAAACUUUGAAGGCCAGAAGGCAGUGGGCUGACAUAUUCAAAGUGUUGAAAAAAAGGGAAAUACAAGUAAAAUUGCU